CACGUAGGGCGCAAGCGUUGUCCGGAAUUAUUGGGCGUAAAGAGCUCGUAGGCGGUCUGUUGCGUCCGCUGUGAAAACUCGGGGCUUAACCCCAAGCCUGCAGUGGAUACGGGCAGACUAGAGGUAGGUAGGGGAGAAUGGAAUUCCCGGUGUAGCGGUGAAAUUCGUAGAUAUUAGGAAGAACACCGGUGGCGAAGGCGGCCAUCUGGCUCGGUACUGACGCUCAGGUUCGAAAGCGUGGGGAGCAAACAGG
rnacentral:rRNA from 1 species